rnacentral:rRNA from 1 species
GUAACAAGGUUUCCGUAGGUGAACCUGCGGAAGGACCAUUACCUAGAGUUUGUAGACUUCGGUCUGCUACCUCUUACCCAUGUCUUUUGAGUACCUUCGUUUCCUCGGCGGGUCCGCCCGCCGAUUGGACAACAUUCAAACCCUUUGCAGUUGCAAUCAGCGUCUGAAAAAACAUAAUAGUUACAACUUUCAACAACGGAUCUCUUGGUUCUGGCAUCGAUGAAGAACGCAGCGAAAUGCGAUAAGUAGUGUGAAUUGCAGAAUUCAGUGAAUCAUCGAAUCUUUGAACGUACAUUGCGCCCCUUGGUAUUCCAUGGGGCAUGCCUGUUCGAGCGUCAUUUGUACCUUCAAGCUCUGCUUGGUGUUGGGUGUUUGUCUCGCCUCUGCGUGUAGACUCGCCUUAAAACAAUUGGCAGCCGGCGUAUUGAUUUCGGAGCGCAGUACAUCUCGCGCUUUGCACUCAUAACGACGACGUCCAAAAGUACAUUUUUACACUCUUGACCUCGGAUCAGGUAGGGAUACCCGCUGAACUUAAGC